rnacentral:rRNA from 1 species
CAGUCGCCGCGGUAAUACGAAGGGUGUAAGCGUUAAUCGGAAUUACUGGGCGUAAAGCGCGCGUAGGUGGUUCAUUAAGUUGGAUGUGAAAUCCCUGAGCUUAACUUAGGAAUUGCAUUCGAUACUGGGAAGCUAGAGUAUGGGAGAGGAUGGUAGAAUUCCAGGUGUAGCGGUGAAAUGCGUAGAGAUCUGGAGGAAUACCGAUGGCGAAGGCAGCCAUCUGGCCUAAUACUGACGCUGAGGUACGAAAGCAUGGGGAGCAAACAGGAUUAGAUACCCCCGUAGUCCCUGUCUCUUAUAC